rnacentral:piRNA from 1 species
UCACAUAAUCAUAUAGCUUUU